rnacentral:rRNA from 1 species
AGAGUUUGAUCCUGGCUCAGGACGAACGCUGGCGGUGUGCUUCACACAUGCAAGUCGAACGGAGUAGCAAUACUCAGUGGCGGACGGGUGAGUAACACGUGGGAAUCUACCAUUAGGUGGGGAAUAACAGGCCGAAAGGACUGCUAAUGCCGCAUAUGUAGGCAUCUCGACAGAGAUGUUUAUGAAAGGAGUAAUCCGCCUUUUGAUGAGCCCGCGUCCGAUUAGCUAGUUGGUAGGGUAAAAGCCUACCAAGGCGACGAUCGGUAGGUGGUCUGAGAGGAUGAUCACCCACAAUGGGACUGAGACACGGCCCAUACUCCUACGGGAGGCAGCAGUGGGGAAUUUUACGCAAUGGGGGAAACCCUGACGUAGCGACACCGCGUGAGCGAAGAAGCCCUUUGGGGUGUAAAGCUCUGUCAACAGGAACGAAACAAAUGACGGUACCUGUAGAGGAAGCAUCGGCUAACUACGUGCCAGCAGCCGCGGUAAGACGUAGGAUGCAAGCGUUGUCCGGAUUUAUUGGGCGUAAAGAGUUCGUAGGCGGUUUGUUAAGUCUGAUGUUAAAGACCGGGGCUCAACCUCGGAAAUGCAUUGGAUACUGGCAGACUGGAGUGCAGUAGAGGCUAGUGGAAUUCCCAGUGUAGCGGUGAAAUGCGUAGA